rnacentral:rRNA from 1 species
UUCAUUUCAUAGCAAACUGCUUAGUAACACAUGAUCAACCUACCCGUAUGGAGGGCACUAACCUCGGGAAACUGAGGAUAAUGGCCCAUAGCNGAUNCGGCUUGGAAAAGUGUAUCUGUGAAAGGGAUGCGGAUGAGUCCGCUUGUGCCAUAGGAUGGGAUUGUGGUCGAUUAGGUAGUUGGUGAGGUAAUGGCUCACCAAGCCGAUAAUCGAUAGAGGCCGUGAGAGCGGGAGCCUCAAGAUGGGUACUGAGACAGCGACCCAGGCCCUACGGGGCGCAGCAGGCGCGAAACCUCCACAAUGCACGCAAGUGCGAUGGGGCUACCCAAAGUGCUCCACACGGAGCUGUGGUGGAUGAGUAAUGUUCUCCGCUAGAAAGGAGAGGGCAAGGCUGGUGCCAGCCGCCGCGGUAAAACCAGCUCUUCAAGUGGUCGGGAUAAUUAUUGGGCUUAAAGUGUCCGUAGCCGGUAUGGUAAGUUCCUGGUAAAAUUGGGCAGCUUAACUGUCCUUGUGCUAGGGAUACUGCUCUACUAGAGGGCGGGAGAGGUCUGAGGUACUACAGGGGGUAGGGGUGAAAUCUUAUAAUCCUUGUAGGACCACCAGUGGCGAAAAGCGUCAGACUGGAACGCGCCUGACGGUGAGGGACGAAAGCCCAGGGGAAGCGAACCGGAUUANAUACCCCGGGUAGUCCUGGCCGUAAACGAUGCGCCCCUAGGUGAUGGUGCGGCUAUGAACCGCAUCAGUGUCGUAAGGAAAACGCUUAAAUGGUGCCCGCCUGGGAAGUACG